GAGGUGGCUGGGUGAGGGGGAAUUGGAGUCAGUGGCUGUGAAGAAGAAAGAGUCAGUGCUCUGAGGAGCUGCCUAUGAGAAACACCAAGAAGCUUGCCGCCUCAGCAAUGAGCGACUCUUAACUCCUUGUCCUGUAGAAGGCCUGAACCUGACUGAAUGCACAAAAAUUCACUGCUGUCCUUUCAGAAUUGGCCAGGAGGAGCAGUGCUACAUGCCAGUGAGAGAUGAUGUGCAGCUGGCCAUUCGAGUGGUUUUGAUUACCGGAGGAGGAUUUUUGUUUUUGGGAUUUCUACCAUUCUGUUGCUGUGCCCUUUUGCAGAGAAGUCCUUGUGUCAAUCCUUUACAAAAGAUCAGCAAAAAAGUACAGAAAAUUGCACGGGAAAAAAGAGCUGCUGAAAAAAAGAGCCGUGAUGAAGAGAUCCAUCGCCACUUACUGGACUGACCUAAAGAACCAAAAGAACCAAAAAGGAAGGAGCAUCCACCUGAUCCUGAAAAUCAAGCAGAAGUCACCAGGAUUAUUUGGCUCUCUCCUAGAAAAGGACACGUUUUAUUUUAGCAUUGGAGUAAUACAAAGUUGUUAACCCUUGAUAAUAUUAUUGAUUUUGCAAUUAAAGUUUUUUUCAUUCUA